GACAGAGGGUGCAAACGUUGUUCGGAAUUACUGGGCGUAAAGCGCGUGUAGGCUGCUUGGAAAGUCGGAUGUGAAAGCCCUGGGCUCAACCCAGGAAGUGCAUUCGAAACUUCCGAGCUCGAGUUCUGGAGAGGAUAGCGGAAUUCUCGGUGUAGAGGUGAAAUUCGUAGAUAUCGAGAGGAACACCGGUGGCGAAGGCGGCUAUCUGGACGACAACUGACGCUGAGGCGCGAAAGCGUGGGGAUCAAACAGG
rnacentral:rRNA from 1 species